rnacentral:rRNA from 1 species
AUUGAACGCUGGCGGCAGGCCUAACACAUGCAAGUCGAACGAGUGGCGGACGGGUGAGUAAUGUCUGGGAAACUGCCUGAUGGAGGGGGAUCACUACUGGAAACGGUAGCUAAUACCGCAUACCAUCAGAUGUGCCCAGAUGGGAUUAGCUUGUUGGUGGGGUAACGGCUCACCAAGGCGACGAUCCCUAGCUGGUCUGAGAGGAUGACCAGCAAAACGAGAACUGAGACAAGGUCCAGAGUCGUACGGGAGGCAGCAGUGGGGAAUAUAGCACAAUGGGCGCGAGCCUGAUGCAGCCAUGCCGCGUGUAUGAAGAAGGCCUGCGGGUUGUAAAGUACGUUCAGCGGGGAGGCGUUACCCGCAGAAGAAGCACCGGCUAACUCCGUGCCAGCAGCCGCGGUAAUAC